GGAUGUGCUGGUUGGUGCUGGGCUUUACUAGGCUGUGCUGGGCUUUACUGGGCUGUGCUGGGCUGUACUGGGAUGUGCUGGGUGGUGCUUGGCUGUACUGGGCUGUGAUGGGCGGUGCUGGGCUGUACUGGGCGGUGCUGGUCAGUGCUGGGCUGUGCUGAGCAGUGCUGGGCUUUGCAGGACUCAACUGUGAUGUAGUAGGCCAUGCUAGGCUGUAUUGGCCCAUCUUGUACCAGGCCAUACUGGCUGUACUAGGCUGUCCUACACUAUACUGGGCUGUGGUAGGCUGUACUGGGAUAGGGAGGCCUUAACUAGGACAUGUGGGCCAUACUAGUCUGUGCUGGACCAUCUGGUAGCAGGCUCUACUUGGUCAUACUGGGACAUACAGGAUGGUACUGCACCAUACUAGGCUGCACAGCGCUGUUCUUGAGCUGUAUAGGACUGCACUGCACCAUGUGGAGCCAUACCAGUCUGCACAGGGCAGUCUUGGGCCAUAUAGUGAGCUAUACAGGAUUGUAACACGCCAUAUAGGAUUAUACAGGGUUAUACAGGACUGCAUGUCCAUAUGGAGCUGUACAGGAUGUACUAGGCCAGUGUGGGGCUGUACUUGGUUGCUCUGUGCCAUUCUGGAGUGUAGAGGGCCAUGUGGAGCUGUAAAGGUCUGUACUAGGCUGUGCUUAGCCACACAGGACUAUACAACACCACACAGCAGCCACGUCCUCUGUGGGAUCAGAGUGUGGGGAUAUCCCCCUCCUCCCUGUCACCCCGCAGCCCACCAUGGGAUAGAGAAAUAGGGGCUUCACUCUAGCAGUACUUGAAUUUAUUAGUAAACUGUUCUUUGGUAAAUGAUAAAAACUCAAGAGACCAAAGGAAUGAAAACAACA